rnacentral:rRNA from 1 species
UACGUAGGGUGCAAGCGUUGUCCGGAAUUAUUGGGCGUAAAGAGCUCGUAGGCGGUCUGUUACGUCGGCUGUGAAAACCUGGGGCUCAACCCCGGGCCUGCAGCCGAUACGGGCAGACUAGAAUUCGGUAGGGGAGACUGGAAUUCCUGGUGUAGCGGUGAAAUGCGCAGAUAUCAGGAGGAACACCGGUGGCGAAGGCGGGUCUCUGGGCCGAUAUCGACGCUGAGGAGCGAAAGCGUGGGGAGCGAACAGG